GGGGACCUUCGGGGCCCUUCAAACCGAGAAGCCGGGUUCUACCCGGCACGCAACAACGGAAGACAGAAA
rfam:Dinoroseobacter shibae DFL 12, complete genome.